AUCGAACGCUGGCGGCAGGCCUAACACAUGCAAGUCGAACGAGUGGCGGACGGGUGAGUAAUGUCUGGGAAACUGCCUGAUGGAGGGGGAUAACUACUGGAAACGGUAGCUAAUACCGCAUACCAUCAGAUGUGCCCAGAUGGGAUUAGCUAGUUGGUGGGGUAACGGCUACCCAAGGCGACGAUCCCUAGCUGGUCUGAGAGGAUGACCAGCAAACCUGGAACUGAGACACGGUCCAGAUGCCUACGGGAGGCAGCAGUGGGGAAUAUUGCACAAUGGGCGCAAGCAUGAUGCAGCCAUGCCGCGUGUAUGAAGAGGGCCUUCGGGUUGUAAAGUACGUUCAGCGGGGAGGCGUUACCCGCAGAAGAAGCACCGGCUAACUCCGUGCCAGCAGCCGCGGUAAUUC
rnacentral:rRNA from 1 species